rnacentral:rRNA from 1 species
UACAGAGGGGGCAAGCGUUGUUCGGAAUUACUGGGCGUAAAGGGCGCGUAGGCGGCCUUCUAAGUCGAACGUGAAAUCCCCGGGCUCAACCUGGGAAUUGCAUUCGAAACUGCGAGGCUAGGGUACGGAAGAGGGAAGCGGAAUUUCUGGUGUAGCGGUGAAAUGCGUAGAUAUCAGAAGGAACAUCAGUGGCGAAAGCGGCUUCCUGGUCCAGUACCGACGUUCAGGCACGAAAGCGUGGGGAGCAAACAGG